rnacentral:rRNA from 1 species
CAGUAGCCACGGGAAUACGUAGGUGGCAAGCGUUGUCCGGAAUUAUUGGGCGUAAAGGGCUCGCAGGCGGUUUCUUAAGUCUGAUGUGAAAGCCCCCGGCUCAACCGGGGAGGGUCAUUGGAAACUGGGAAACUUGGGUGCAGAAGAGGAGAGUGGAAUUCCACGUGUAGCGGUGAAAUGCGUAGAGAUGUGGAGGAACACCAGUGGCGAAGGCGACUCUCUGGUCUGUAACUGACGCUGAGGAGCGAAAGCGUGGGGAGCGAACAGGAUUAGAUACCCCCGUAGUCCCUGUCUCUUAUAC